rnacentral:rRNA from 1 species
UCAGGCCUAACACAUGCAAGUCGAACGGUAACAGGUUAAGCUGACGAGUGGCGAACGGGUGAGUAAUGUAUCGGAACGUGCCCAGUCGUGGGGGAUAACUGCUCGAAAGAGCAGCUAAUACCGCAUACGACCUGAGGGUGAAAGCGGGGGAUCGCAAGACCUCGCGCGAUUGGAGCGGCCGAUAUCAGAUUAGGUAGUUGGUGGGGUAAAGGCCUACCAAGCCUACGAUCUGUAGCUGGUCUGAGAGGACGACCAGCCACACUGGGACUGAGACACGGCCCAGACUCCUACGGGAGGCAGCAGUGGGGAAUUUUGGACAAUGGACGCAAGUCUGAUCCAAAAGUGCCGCGUGCGGGAAGAAGGCCUUCGGGUGUACUUUAAAGGGGUCAGGGAAGAAAAGGUUCUGGCUAAUACCU